GACGAACGCUGGCGGCGUGCUUAACACAUGCAAGUCGAACGGAAAGGCCCUGCUUUUGUGGGGUGCUCGAGUGGCGAACGGGUGAGUAACACGUGAGUAACCUGCCCUUGACUUUGGGAUAACUUCAGGAAACUGGGGCUAAUACCGGAUAGGAGCUCCUGCUGCAUGGUGGGGGUUGGAUAGUUUCGGCGGUUGGGGAUGGACUCGCGGCUUAUCAGCUUGUUGGUGGGGUAGUGGCUUACCAAGGCUUUGACGGGUAGCCGGCCUGAGAGGGUGACCGGCCACAUUGGGACUGAGAUACGGCCCAGACUCGUACGGGAGGCAGCAGUGGGGAAUAUUGCACAAUGGGCGGAAGCCUGAUGCAGCAACGCCGCGUGCGGGAUGACGGCCUUCGGGUUGUAAACCGCUUUCGCCUGUGACGAAGCGUGAGUGACGGUAAUGGGUAAAGAAGCACCGGCUAACUACGUG
rnacentral:rRNA from 1 species